AGGCAAAGUGAGGAGCCACGGUUCCGACAGCGACAUCUCCUCCAGCCAAAAAGACGAAUGGUUUGUGUAGAGGCAGGCCUGGACCAGAGCCCGCAGGGUGAACCGGUGCGGUGGUGCCCUCACCGCCCCUGGGACGUGACGACGCGUUGCGUCGCUUCGUUCCCAUUCACAUCGGUCGCGUGUUACCGGCGAACAUCUUGGCGUGCCACGCAACGUCCCCCAACAACAUCCUUUCAC